rnacentral:rRNA from 1 species
ACGAACGCUGGCGGUGUGCUUCACACAUGCAAGUCGAACGAGGUAGCAAUACCUAGUGGCGGACGGGUGAGUAACGCGUGGGAAUCUGCCUUUGGAUGGGGGAUAACGGGUCGAAAGACUCGCUAAUACCGCAUAUGACGAAAGUUGAAAGGAGUAAUCCGUCUAAAGAUGAGCCCGCGUCCGAUUAGCUAGUUGGUAGAGUAAAAGCCUACCAAGGCGACGAUCGGUAGCUGGUCUGAGAGGAUGAUCAGCCACAAUGGGACUGAGAUACGGCCCAGACUCCUACGGGAGGCAGCAGUGAGGAAUAUUGGACAAUGGGCGAAAGCCUGAUCCAGCAACGCCGCGUGAACGAUGAAGCUGCUCUGCAGUGUAAAGUUCUGUAAGGAGGGACGAAUACCUGGGUAUUGCCCAGGGGGGACGGUACCUCUUAAGUAAGCACCGGCUAACUCCGU